GAUGAUUUAGAUUUAUUCUGACUUUGUAAGAUCUUUACAAAGUUAAGGUUUGUUUUGGAUGACUUAGGUUUUAUGAAUUAAAAUAGGGUUUAUGUUUUGGAUGAUUUCAAGAGUUUAGUAAUAGAUCUAUGGAUAAAAUUUUGUGGAUUUAUAGUUAUAGUUGUGUUUAAUAUGUGUUGUAAAUUUGACAUCGAUCUAAUGAUUAAAUUGAGAGAUAUUGAGGUUUAAGUGGGUCAAGGUCUCAGAAAGUAGAAUUUUAGGUUCAGUGGGAGUGUUUAAGAUUUCUUGCAAUCUACUAGUUAGAUUAGAGUGAAACUAAG
rnacentral:lncRNA from 1 species